CAGGGAGACAACAAAAUGUUUAAUAUUAUUUUGUCACCUUAGGUCGAUCGGUAUCUCACAUUUUUAAUUUAUUAAGAAUUUCAUUUCCUAAGUUUUUCUAGGUCACACCCAUUAUUUUCCUGGGCCAUUAGCUCAGGUGGUUAGAGCGCACCCCUGAUAAGGGUGAGGUCCCUGGUUCAAGUCCAGGAUGGCCCAUAUCUCUAUGUUGGGGGUAUAGCUCAGUUGGUAGAGCGCCUGCUUUGCAAGCAGGAUGUCAGCGGUUCGAGUCCGCUUACCUCCACUGAUUACCACCUCUCUCAUAACCGGUAGAAAGGAAAUGUUUUGAGUUGUGAUCAAAUUCUGAAAGAAUCUAGCUUCCUAAUGAAAUCAUUAAGAUGCUGGACUCAUUGAAUUAAUUUCAUUGUUUUCAGAGAACCUUGACAACUGCAUAGAUUAUUUUUAAAGACAAUAAGCAUCUUUAAUGAUGCAGAUUUAUUAUUUGUGCGAAUGCAUUAAUAACAAUUCUAUUAAGCUGAUGCUUCAAUUUUUGAAGUUAUU
rnacentral:tRNA from 1 species